ensembl:lncRNA
CUGAAAUGAACUUUUCCACAACAUUUUAAUUUAUUGAGAUGCACCUGUAUAUAUCUUGCAAUAGGGUCAGAAAAAUCAAGACCAUUGGCAGUGUAGAAUUUAAAGAGACUCCAGGACUCAAAGGAGCAUCUCCAUGAGAAACCAGGCAAGGUUUCCUCUCACAUUUGCUGUCUGUCCUUCCGCUGGUGGAAAGUCCACCGCCGUGUUGUUUGGAAGCUGUUUGCCAUCAGUGAAAGGGAGAGGGCUGAGUUACUCUAAAGGAAAAAUGAUAAACACAGAGAAGCAUUUAGGCCUGGCCAAGCUGGUGGUUGUACCCACAGUGCUUUGUGCUAAUUAGGACAAAGCUGGUUUAGGUUUCGGCCAUGGGUUUAUUUGCUUACACCAUUAUAAACACUUGAGCCUAGAUCCCUUGAACCUACGUCCAGGAGAAUGAUGUCUGAAGCUUUAAAUAACAGGCAUCUUUGAUCACCAUUCUGCUGCCAGCGAGGAUCCGUGUGCAUAAAUAAACGUUUAUAAGCUUUAGCAUGAAUGUAUCACUGCUCGUAAUAUGGAGUCUUUGAAAUGAUGAUACAUUUUUGUCUCAUUUAGUUUUAAAUUCACCAAUAUUUUCCACCCAUUAACAACAUAAACCUGUAACCAGCUACCAUGUCAUGAACUUACUAAUAUCAUGUACUUGAACGAAGCAAAAGGCCA